GGCUCCUCUGGGGAAAAGCGUGCAGGUGCCGGCUGGAGGCAGCCGGAGGUGACCCCACAGGCCUGGUGAGGUCUGCUGGGGUCGCCCCUUCCCCAGCCCGCCAUGCUGGGCUGCCUCGGGGUGGGGUGGGAGGGUCCUCCCUUCUGGGAGGCAAGGAGGCCUCCCUGCCGCCU